GGCGCACGGGUGAGUAACGCGUGGGUAAUCUACCCUUGAAUUUGGGAUAACCCUUCGAAAGGGGGGCUAAUACCGGAUAACAUCCGAUUGACCUUGGUUGAUUGGAUCAAAGGAGGCCUCUACAAGUAAGCUUUUGUUUGAGGAUGAGCCCGCGUACCAUUAGCUAGUUGGUAGGGGUAAAGGCCUACCAAGGCGACGAUGGUUAGCUGGUCUGAGAGGAUGAUCAGCCACACUGGAACUGACACACGGUCCAGACUCCUACGGGAGGCAGCAGUGAGAAUUUUGCGCAAUGGGGGGAAACCCUGACGCAGCAACGCCGCGUGAGUGAUGAAGGCCUUCGGGUCGUAAAGCUCUGUCAAGUGGGAAGAAUCUAUCCAUGGCUAAUAUCUGUGGGUAAUGACGGUACCACUGAAGGAAGCACCGGCUAACUCCGUGCCAGCAGCCGCGGUAA
rnacentral:rRNA from 1 species